rnacentral:rRNA from 1 species
GGGGAAUAUUGCACAAUGGGCGAAAGCCUGAUGCAGCAACGCCGCGUGAGUGAUGAAGGCCUUCGGGUUGUAAAGCUCUGUCUUCUGGGACGAUAAUGACGGUACCAGAGGAGGAAGCCACGGCUAACUACGUGCCAGCAGCCGCGGUAAUACGUAGGUGGCAAGCGUUGUCCGGAUUUACUGGGCGUAAAGAGUAUGUAGGCGGAUAUUUAAGUCAGAUGUGAAAUUCCCGGGCUUAACCUGGGCGCUGCAUUUGAUACUGGAUAUCUAGAGUGUGGGAGAGGAAAGUGGAAUUCCUAGUGUAGCGGUGAAAUGCGUAGAGAUUAGGAAGAACACCAGUGGCGAAGGCGGCUUUCUGGACUGUAACUGACGCUGAGGCAUGAAAGCGUGGGGAGCAAAC